rnacentral:rRNA from 1 species
GACGAACGCUGGCGGCGUGCCUAAUACAUGCAAGUCGAACGCUUCUUUCCUCCCGAGUGCUUGCACUCAUUUGGAAAGAGGAGUGGCGGACGGGUGAGUAACACGUGGGUAACCUACCCAUCAGAGGGGGAUAACACUUGGAAACAGGUGCUAAUACCGCAUAACAGUUUAUGCCGCAUGGCAUAAGAGUGAAAGGCGCUUUCGGGUGUCACUGAUGGAUGGACCCGCGGUGCAUUAGCUAGUUGGUGAGGUAACGGCUCACCAAGGCCACGAUGCAUAGCCGACCUGAGAGGGUGAUCGGCCACACUGGGACUGAGACACGGCCCAGACUCCUACGGGAGGCAGCAGUAGGGAAUCUUUCGGCAAUGGACGAAAGUCUGACCGAGCAACGCCGCGUGAGUGAAGAAGGUUUUUCGGAUUCGUAA